AGACAGGUGCUGCAUGGCUGUCGUCAGCUCGUGCCGUGAGGUGUUCGGGUUAAGUCCCGCAACGAGCGCAACCCUAUUGCCAGUUGCUACCAGGUAAUGCUGGGCACUCUGGUGAGACUGCCCCGUUAACGGGGAGGAAGGUGGGGACGACGUCAAGUCAUCAUGGCCCUUACGCCUAGGGCUACACACGUACUACAAUGGCGCAUCAAAGGGCAGCGAUACCGCGAGGUGGAGCCAAUCCCAAAAAGUGCGUCCCAGUCCGGAUUGCAGUCUGCAACUCGACUGCAUGAAGUUGGAAUCGCUAGUAAUUCGAGAUCAGCAUGCUCGGGUGAAUGCGUUCCCGGGCCUU
rnacentral:rRNA from 1 species